rnacentral:rRNA from 1 species
AGCGGCGGAUGGGUGAGUAACACGUGGGGAACCUGCCCCUAAGUCUGGGAUACCAUUUGGAAACAGGUGCUAAUACCGGAUAAUAAAGCAGAUCGCAUGAUCAGCUUUUGAAAGGCGGCGUAAGCUGUCGCUAAGGGAUGGCCCCGCGGUGCAUUAGCUAGUUGGUAAGGUAACGGCUUACCAAGGCGACGAUGCAUAGCCGAGUUGAGAGACUGAUCGGCCACAUUGGGACUGAGACACGGCCCAAACUCCUACGGGAGGCAGCAGUAGGGAAUCUUCCACAAUGGACGCAAGUCUGAUGGAGCAACGCCGCGUGAGUGAAGAAGGUUUUCGGAUCGUAAAGCUCUGUUGUUGGUGAAGAAGGAUAGAGGUAGUAACUGGCCUUUAUUUGACGGUAAUCAACCAGAAAGUCACGGCUAACUACGUGCCAGCAGCCGCAGUAAUACGUAGGUGGCAAGCGUUGUCCGGAUUUAUUGGGCGUAAAGCGAGCGCAGGCGGAAAAAUAAGUCUAAUGUGAAAGCCCUCGGCUUAACCGAGGAACUGCAUCGGAAACUGUUUUUCUUGAGUGCAGAAGAGGAGAGUGGAACUCCAUGUGUAGCGGUGGAAUGCGUAGAUAUAUGGAAGAACACCAGUGGCGAAGGCGGCUCUCUGGUCUGCAACUGACGCUGAGGCUCGAAAGCAUGGGUAGCGAACAGGAUUAGAUACCCUGGUAGUCCAUGCCGUAAACGAUGAGUGCUAAGUGU